GCAAGUUGAAGACAGCUGCUGGUUAUUUUAACUAAGGAAACUCCGCCCAUCACACAGAUUAUGGCAUUGAAAGAUGUAUGCUGAGAAGUAUGGCAAUGGAGCAGAAACGACACGGCUUUUAAUGGUUGACGAUGAUAUUUAAUUGAGGACAUUAAAAGAAUCGGUGAAACGGCCAUCCCAUAAGAUGCAAGAGCAAAAUUGCUGAUGAUCACUGUUGUAGGCAAGGUAGUUCGCUAAGAUGAAUGCUGUUAAAACAGAAGGUGGGUUACUCUUAACAGGC
rnacentral:RNase_P_RNA from 1 species